GUAAUGAACCAAUGCGGCUCCUGCAGGUGAAGAUCUGCACAGACGUUGUCAUCAAUCACACAUGUGCAUCGGGCUGAGGGGAAAGAAGGCACUCGACCUGCGGCUCGUACUUCAAUGCCACCCGUGAGGAGUUCCCAUCUGUGAGAUACUCUGCCACUGACUUCAAUGAUGACAAAUGCACCGGCCGCCGUGGAAAUAUUGAGAAUUACCAAGACAUUUAUCAGAGCCGCCUGAUUCUGUUUGCUGCUGGAUGUACUACAAAGCUGAGAAGAGUGUGUUUGCGUGCACAAUCUGAGAGUGUUUCACCGUCUCUGGAGAGUCUGCCUUUCUCCAGCUCUCUCCUGGAGAUGAACUCAGACGGGAUGUCCUCAUCUUCCUCCUGCUCUUCCUCCUGUCUGGGGACAUGAGCGCUUGGGUAGAUCUUUCCAAAACCUUCUGUGGCUUCCUGAGCAUAAACCUCCAUCUCUGGCAUGUCUAGAAAAAAGUUGCAUAAAAAAAAAACAAUUAGAGCGUGUUUUGAGCUGUCACGGUGCUCAGUUUCAAUCUGUCACAGAUAAGCCGCCUGUUGCAGAUUACAGUGAUGACAAGUGAAGUCAUGUGAGUUUUUGUGUGAACACCUAUCAAAA